GACGAACGCUGGCGGCGUGCUUAACACAUGCAAGUCGAACGGAAAGGCCCUGCUUUUGUGGGGUGCUCGAGUGGCGAACGGGUGAGUAACACGUGAGUAACCUGCCCUUGACUUUGGGAUAACUUCAGGAAACUGGGGCUAAUACCGGAUAGGAGCUCCUGCUGCAUGGUGGGGGUUGGAAAGUUUCGGCGGUUGGGGAUGGACUCGCGGCUUAUCAGCUUGUUGGUGGGGUAGUGGCUUACCAAGGCUUUGACGGGUAGCCGGCCUGAGAGGGUGACCGGCGACAUUGGGACUGAGAUACGGCCCAGACUCCUACGGGAGGCAGCAGUGGGGAAUAUUGCACAAUGGGCGGAAGCCUGAUGCAGCAACGCCGCGUGCGGGAUGACGGCCUUCGGGUUGUAAACCGCUUUCGCCUGUGACGAAGCGUGAGUGACGGUAACGGGUAAAGAAGCACCGGCUAACUACGUG
rnacentral:rRNA from 1 species